rnacentral:lncRNA from 1 species
ACAGCUGGAUCCACCUGUUCCUCAUAUAACCCCGAGGCAACAAAUGCAUCUGCAUGCAUUACGAUCCUCUUCUCGAGAGCAUUAAACCUGUCCUCAGUUCUAUCAUACAUGAACCUACAACCCCGUUUAGGGCCUAACGCCUAAGCCAUUGAUUUUUAGAGAACACCUAUGCUUUGUCUGAACUUUCUUAAUAAUCAUAUCAUCCUCACUUUUUUCUACAUCAUUGUUAAUUAUCUCCAUUCUCUGCAUGCCCCGCCACAUCACCUAUGUUGAAUCUCACCACAAAAUUUUUGACUCGUC